ACUUGUUGAGACGUUUGAUAUUGGUACAGUACAGAAAGCGAUUUGCUCGUCUUUUAAUCUUACAAGCUAUUAUUUUCAAUAAGCAAAAUCAGGACUUCUGUGGUGGGUAAACCCAGCUGUUUGAAAGCGUAAAGAGAAGGAAGUGAUUUGAAGAACAACCCACAGAUAAGCAGAUGCAAAAAACAAAUACUGUACCUCCUGGUAGCAUUGAAAGAAGAACUUUGGGAUAAUAUUGAAAAACGUGAAAGAAGGUCUGUGAUGAUUGACAAAGCAUAUUAUAAGGCAACACCAGGCAACACCAACAUGAUGCUAUAGGAUAAUUCUCUGGUUAUUGGUAGCAUCACUUGGGUAAAGGAUACAAGCUUCAGUAGCAUAGAUACAAGAGCUGGAGUGGGACUACGGGAGAUUUCUUUUUAUGUGUUGGAGCAAUGGGAGAAGCUGCUCUUCACCUUAAGCCAUUGGAAACACAGAGGAAAAGGCCCUUCAAAACCAGGUGACAAAUCAAAUACCAAACAACAAUAAAGACAGCAACAAAAAGCAUCUCAAAGUAGGAAACAUUCCCUGUUGCUUUUCUGGUUACCAGAACAUGCUUAAAGCUAUGACGAGAUCUGGCCUUCGAGGAAGAAGCUCUGAGCAUGCUCAGAACAGAUGCAUCAUUCUAAUCGGCUACUACGUGAUGUUGGUGGGUUAUUCAAGGCUGUCAAACAGUUCUUCCUAAUCUGAUAUAGUGGCUGCUGGGACUCCCUCAACAACAGAGGGAAAGGGAACCUGCCAAGCAGAGGCUGAAGCGCUGGCAUUUCUCCUAAUAUUCAAAUGUCAUAGUUUUUCUCCCCAGGUCUCAGAGACACAUAGAAGGAACAUCUUUGCCAUAGCUACACCUUUGGAUUAAGCUUGGCUGAGUGGUCCAGAGAGCUGACUGGCCAGAGAACAGAGAUUGAGAGAAAUGCCUUCACAAGCCUCUUUGAAUUCAUGGAAGUAUAAAAUGUGUGUGGGACAGGAAAGAGCAUGUGGCUUUGAGAUUUUGGGGUGGAGGAUUUAAAAAAAUUGCUUCAGAAGCUCUUGGUCCAGUAGUCCUAGCUGAAGAGCCUCCACUAGUUACAAUAACUGAUGAUUGUUUUAUAAAGGCAAGUUCAGUCUAAUUACAUUGAGGUUGCAGUAAAGAUCCCAAUUUCACAAAAUCACAUUAAUGAAAAUUGUUAAUCAACAGUAAAUUUGAGCUUUAUAUCACUACAGUUAAACACAUUUAAUACAAGUAUUAAUAUUUAUUUCAUUAUCAAAAAAUCAAAAUUACCAUGUGGGAUUAAUACAACUAUUAUUCACUGUUUAUAAUGACUUUAUUAAUUACAUGUGGAUAAUUUUGAUUUUUUGAUAAUGAAAUACAUAUGAUUAUUACCUUUAAAUGUGUGAAGUUGAUUCUAAUGUAAUGAUCUUAAGUUAUGCUCCAUCAUCAUCAGCCAAUCUUGUGGCCCCCUGAUCUUGCACCUGUUUUUGGGACACUGGUUGCACCACCCUAGUUACUCUACUGGCAGUGACUGACCUAAAACAAGACCUUGGAAUUGUAAUGGAUAACUCAGUGAAGAUGUUGAUCCCGUGUGCGAUAGCUGUGAAAAUGGCAAAUUCCAUGCUAGGGAUCAUUAGGAAAGGAAUUGAACAUAAAACUGCUGAUAUCAUAAUGCCAUUAUACAAAUCUAUGGUGUGGUCACAUUUGGAAUACUGUGUACAGCUGUGGUUGCUGUGGGGUUGGAAAAGGUUCAGAAAAGGGAAACCAUAAUGUUCAAGUGGAGCAACUCCUCAAUGAGGAAAGACUGCAGCAUUCAGGGCUUUUCAAUUUAGGAAAAAAGAUGAGUAAAAGAAGAUAUGAUGGAAGUGUAUAAAAUUAGAAAUGGCAUAGAGAAAGUGGAUGGAGAAAAGUUUUUUUCUCUCAUAACACUAGAACUCGUGGACUUCUAAUGAAACUGAAUGUUGGAAGAUUCGGGACAGACAAAGGAAAGUACUUCUUCACAUAGCACAUAGUUAAAUGAUGGAAUUGCUCUCAAAAGAGGCAGUGAUGAUCACCAACUUGGAUGGCUUUAAAAGAGGGUUAGACAAAAUCAUGGCUACUAGCCAUUAUGGUUAUGUUUGAUCUCCACAGUAAGUGGCAGUAUGUUUCUGAAUGACAAUUGCUAGAACCUGCAGGAGGGAAGAGUGCUGCUGUGCUCAGAACUUGCUUGUGGGCUUCCUAUAGGCAUUUGGUUGGCCAUUCUGAGAAAAGGAUGCUGGACUAGAUAGGCCACUGACCUGAUCCAGCAGGCUAAAAAGAGACCCCCCUUUUUUCCUGAGUUAUUCCAGAUUCCCCCCCCCCGGGCCUUCACAUCUCUUUACAUAAUGAAGAGGAUGGGGUGAGUUAGUUGUUUUCGCCUCACAGAAUUUUAAUGCCUGAAUAGAGCUCUAGUAAUUCCAGUGUCAAGUACUGAACUUCAUAGUUGAUGAGGGAUGUGCACUUGAUUUUUCCAUCUAAAUAGAACAGUCUAGCUGCUACAUCAUCACACAAAGAAGUUAACUUUGAAUCUUUGGUGUGUAAAACACGAUGAGUUCUGCAACAUUUAGCCUCCCAUUCAUUUGCUAUUUCUACUGUGGGUUUCCAAGAAAACUGUAACUUAUAAGAGCAAACGUUUAAAUCUUUUUUUUGUGUGUACCUUGAUCAAUGAGAAAUAGAGAGCAAAAUGUAAGGGGAUUUCAGGAGAAUACCUGGCUAGGACAGGUUGAUGUCAGCUGAUCAAUGUAGGUAGAAUAGAUGGGAACAUUGAUGAGAAUGGUCCCCAAAGACUACAGACUGCCAUAGCACUUAAAACUCCCUUGAUACUUGGUAGUACACGUUACAACUCUACACAAAACACUGGAUCCUUUUUAUCUAGAAGCAUCUCAAUUUUGAAUCAAGUUCUGGUUAUUUAAAAUAUCGAGAAUUUAUUAUGGAUACAAUUUUCAGAGUUUAAGGGAAA